UGGUAGUUAUAGCAGUGGUGCUGUGCUCUGCCCUGCCUCAGUGGGGCUGCAAUCUGCUGUCCUUUCAAUGCCCAGGUCAGAAUGCACAGCAGCAAUAAAUUAAUCUCUGCAUGCCUUAUGGAAGCAUCUUCCUGGAGGAUUUGCUGCUUCUCAUGGGCUGAGCACAGAAGAACUGUCUUGGGGAUUUUCUAGGAACGUGGAAAGUGUAUAUGCACUGGAACCGCUUUUAGAAAGAUUCUCAGAGCUGUCCUGUGCUUUGCCUCUGGGAAACAGAGGUGAACAAGAGUAAUAGAAAUUAACAGCUGAUAAACCAAAUGUCAUAAAAACA